rnacentral:rRNA from 1 species
GACGAACGCUGGCGGCGUGCUUAACACAUGCAAGUCGAACGGAAAGGCCCUGCUUUUGUGGGGUGCUCGAGUCGCGAACGGGUGAGUAACACGUGAGUAACCUGCCCUUGACUUUGGGAUAACUUCAGGAAACUGGGGCUAAUACCGGAUAGGAGCUCCUGCUGCUUGGUGGGGGUUGGAAAGUUUCGGCGGUUGGGGAUGGACUCGCGGCUUAUCAGCUUGUUGGUGGGGUAGUGGCUUACCAAGGCUUUGACGGGUAGCCGGCCUGAGAGGGUGACCGGCCACAUUGGGACUGAGCUACGGCCCAGACUCCUACGGGAGGCAGCAGUGGGGAAUAUUGCACAAUGGGCGGAAGCCUGAUGCAGCAACGCCGCGUGCGGGAUGACGGCCUUCGGGUUGUAAACCGCUUUCGCCUGUGACGAAGCGUGAGUGACGGUAAUGGGUAAAGAAGCACCGGCUAACUACGUG